AUUUAAAUAGCUUAAUUAGAGCGUAAUAUUGAAGAUAUUAAAGUGGUUAUUUAACCUUUAAAUA
rnacentral:tRNA from 1 species